rnacentral:rRNA from 1 species
GACGAACGCUGGCGGCGUGCCUAAUCCAUGCAAGUAGAACGCACUUGCGAACGGGUGAGUAACGCGUAGGUAACUGCCUGGUAGCGGGGGAUAACAAUUGGAAACGAUAGCUAAUACCGCAUACUACCAGAUGGAACUGCGUUGUAUUAGCUCGUGGGUGGGGUAACGGCUCACCAAGGCAACGAUACAUCACCGACCUGAAGGGGUGAUGCGCCACCCCGGGACUGAGACACGGCCCAGACUCCUCCGGGAGGUAGCAGUAGGGAAGCUUCGGCAAUUGACGGAAGUCUGACCGAGCAACGCCGCGUGAGUGAAGAAGGUUUUCGGAUCGUAAAGCUCUGUUGUAAGAGAAGCGGUAUCUUACCAGAAAGGGACGGCUAACUACGUGCCAGCAGCCGCGGUAAUAC